GUUGAGCACAAGACUCCUGGAACACCAUCCUCUUAGUUCACCAUCAACCAAUCAGAAGAAAGUCUAAACACAGUGGAAGAUGACCAACGUUCUGACCCCUCCCCAAGUGAUUCUCCUUUUAAAAACUUCCACUGUCCAGCAGAGUCUUCGAAAUUGGUUUUUGGACACAAGUUCGCCAUCUCUCCAGGUUGCCGGCCUCCUGAGUAAAGCAACCUUUUCUUUCCAACCAAUACUUGAGUGUUGGCUUUUGAGCAUCUUGCAAUCUAGCAGUGACAUCUCUAGCUUUAGGCAUCAGAUGAAUUUCAGCAAAGGCAUUGAUAAUGGCUUUGAGGAAUAAAUACUGCAGAUGGAUCAAAUCAAAGAAUCAUAUUUCAAAGCUGGAUUAAGAGUCAUGAAAAGGAAGGAGAAGCAGAAAUGAAGGAAAAGAAGAAUUACAGAAGUAAAAUGAGCGGUUGAUUAUAGACAAGAAAAUCUGCUGUUUGAAUAAAGACCAAAGGGCUCUCAUUGUUGGUUGCCCACGUGACUCUGUCUUUUCUGAGCAGCACAUCCCAAGAUCAAGAAGCCAGAAGGAACUCCGACUUUAACUAAUUAGCAGUAAUGAAAAUUUACUAAACGUCAACAACAAAUUUACUAGGCAAUUUCAUUUCCAAGGGACGUUGGCAUAUAUCAUAGGUAAAACAUUUUCACAAACAUCAUUUUUAACAUAGAAUCUUAUUUGCAGAAGCUAUUUUCGUGGCCUGGGGAACAAACGGUUCAUUGAAACAGAACUUUGCUGAUCUGGUUUCAAAGAAUUCUAUAAUAUGAAAAAUACUGUGGAACAGAUGGGAUCAGAAGUCCCUGAACACAGAACAGGCAUAUCUAGUAAUGAAAAUGUUCUUUUGGUAUUGUAUUAUGUUUUAUGUUUUAUGUUUCAGAGUAUUAGUAUGGAAGGAACUCAGGCAGGGGCAGAAAAGGGGAAGUUAGUAGGAAUAACACUUUACGUGUGAAUAGGCUCUAUGCUUUCCAAAAUACUCAGACCCCACCAAAGCCCGAUAGCAAGUACCAUCCUCAUUUUAUUGGUGAAAAACAUGCUUCUAAGAAAAAAUGUGUUAUAAGUAACAGAAAGUCCAACUUAAAUAAUAAAAAGUAUAUGUCUUUCUCUGA